AAAAAGAUAAGCUAAAUGAAGCUAAUGGGUUCAUACCCCAUCCAUGAACAAAAAAUUCUCUUUUUA
rnacentral:tRNA from 1 species